AACGAACGCUGGCGGCAGGCUUAACACAUGCAAGUCGAACGGGUGUAGCAAUACAUCAGUGGCAGACGGGUGAGUAACACGUGGGAACCUUCCUAGAGGUACGGAACAACGCAGGGAAACUUGCGCUAAUACCGUAUACGCUCUUGCGAGGAAAGAUUUAUCGCCUUUAGACGGGCCCGCGUCGGAUUAGCUAGUUGGUGAGGUAACGGCUCACCAAGGCGACGAUCCGUAGCUGAUUUGAGAGGAUGAUCAGCCACACUGGGACUGGGACACGGCCCAGACUCCUACGGGAGGCAGCAGUGGGGAAUCUUGGACAAUGGGCGCAAGCCUGAUCCAGCCAUGCCGCGUGAGUGAAGAAGGCCUUCGGGUUGUAAAGCUCUUUUGUCAGGGACGAUAAUGACGGUACCUGAAGAAUAAGCCCCGGCAAACUUCGUGCCAGCCGCCGCGGUAA
rnacentral:rRNA from 1 species